GGACGACAGGGUUCGGUUGUAAAGUUCUGUUGGUCUGAGUGUGAAGAAGUGAAAACCUCAGUCCGGUCUGAGACUUUCAUUAUCAAUUCCUCUGAAUGUUUCUCUGCUAAUGAAUAAAAUGUCAGAGAAGCGCCAGCUGUUGUGAGUCUACUGAACGCACCACGACUGAUGAAUAUUUGGGCGGGACUUCGCCGCCGUCCGCGGCUGUCGGUUGGUCGGCCGUCCCGCCACUCCUCCGCCCUCAGCCAAUGGUUGCCCCGGAAACGGCCCCGGCUGCUGCGCCGCGAGAGAAGAAGCCGAAGCGCGGUGAUGAAACGGAGCGGUGACGUCAGAGGAGCAUACGGCAGGAAGCAGUGACGCAGAGCGAGUGACGGCCGGAGGUGGUGCGUCAUCAGAGAGAAGCACACAGCUGCUGACUGAUGUGUUAGGCCCGGAGGAGUGUUUUCAAAGUAAAAGCCCAGAACGGUUUUUGUUUCUCAGUGAACUACAGGAAGAGACCAGGAUCUGCUGUGACCCCCCUUUAAACCAGCUCCAGGUCUCUGUAGUCACGAUCAGGUUUUAGGAGUACCUGGUUACGAUCUGCUUUAAUGAUAACAUGACAUGUAAAGACCUGAUCCAGGUGCCCUCCUCCAGGGAUCAGGUCUUACUGAGGGUCCUGGUCUUAAGCCCCAGAGGAAGUA